AAUGUUAUGUCUGAUUAAAGUAAUAAAUUGUAAAUUUAUUUAAGAAAAAAAAUAUUUUCUAACAUUA
rnacentral:tRNA from 1 species